CCCUGCCCACCUGAGGCCUUCUAUAGGAAUAACUUGCGGAUUCCCUGUGGCUCACAAUCUGCACAGUGAAAGUCACUCCUCACAACUGCUUCCAAGGAGCAUGAUCAGCUAGAAUGUCUGUGGGAAGGAAAGAAACAGAAAAGAAAAAAGCUGCAGAACAGCACGUAAACUGGACAGAAUAAGGCAAAAGACAGAAGCAUCUGUACCACGGAAUCAAUACUACCAGAAGAAGAAGAAUGCAGGCACACUCAGUAGAAGUUAUGAAGCCAUUUUGUGUUUUCUGAGAUUCACC